AGCGAACGCUGGCGGCAGGCCUAACACAUGCAAGUCGAACGAACCCUUCGGGGUUAGUGGCGGACGGGUGAGUAACACGAGGGAACGUGCCUUUAGGUUCGGAAUACCUCAGGGAAACUUGUGCUAAUACCGAAUGUGCCCUUCGGGGGAAAGAUUUAUCGCCUUUAGAGCGGCCCGCGUCUGAUUAGCUAGUUGGUGAGGUAAUGGCUCACCAAGGCUACGAUCAGUGGCUGGUCUGAGAGGAUGACCAGCCACAUUGGGACUGAGACACGGCCCAAACUCCUACGGGAGGCAGCAGUGGGGAAUCUUGCGCAAUGGGCGAAAGCCUGACGCAGCCAUGCCGCGUGGAUGAUGAAGGUCUUAGGAUUGUAAAAUCCUUUCACCGGUGAAGAUAAUGACUGUAGCCGGAGAAGAAGCCCCGGCUAACUUCGUGCCAGCCGCCGCCGUAACAC
rnacentral:rRNA from 1 species